CGCGGCCUAUCAGCUUGUUGGUGAGGUAAAGGCUCACCAAGGCAUCGACGGGUAGCUGGUCUGAGAGGACGAUCAGCCACACUGGGACUGAGACACGGCCCAGACUCCUACGGGAGGCAGCAGUAGGGAGUCUUGCGCAAUGGGCGAAAGCCUGACGCAGCAACGCCGCGUGGGGGAAGAAGGCUCUAGGGUCGUAAACCCCUUUCAGCAGGGACGAAAAUGACGGUACCUGCAGAAGAAGCGCCGGCCAACUACGUGCCAGCAGCCGCGGUAAUACGUAGGGAGCGAGCGUUGUCCGGAAUUAUUGGGCGUAAAGAGCUCGUAGGCGGUUUGUCACGUCUGCUGUGAAAAUCCAAGGCUCAACCUUGGACUUGCAGUGGGUACGGGCAGGCUAGAGUGCGGUAGGGGAGAUGGGAAUUCCUGGUGUAGCGGUGGAAUGCGCAGAUAUUAGGAGGAACACCAGUGGCGAAGGCGCCGCUCUGGGCCGUAACUGACGCUGAGGAGCGAAAGCGUGGGGAGCGAACAGGAUUAGAUACCCUGGUAGUCCACGCCGUAAACGGUGGGAACUAGAUGUGGGGUCCGUUCCACGGAUUCCGUGUCGCAGCUAACGCAUUAAGUUCCCCGCCUGGGGAGUACGG
rnacentral:rRNA from 1 species